rnacentral:tRNA from 1 species
GCCUGGGUGGCUCAGUCGGUUAAGCAUCUGACUUCAGCUCAGGUGGUGAUCUCAUGGUUUGUGAGUUCGAGCCCCGCGUCGGGCU